GUAGUUGCUUCAGCAGUACAUAUACUAAAAUUGAAAUGAUACAGAGAAUAAUAGCAUGGUACCAGCACAAGGAUGACACACAAAUUCAUAAAGCAUUUCAUAUUCUU